UCGCGCACGAAAUUGCAUGCGCGCGCUCGAAACGCUGCUCUCGCGCUCAGAUCGUAUGCGCGCACUCAAAGCAAACUGCGCUCGUGCUCAAAUAUUUCUUGCUCGCUCUCAGAACUGCACUUGCCCUCGCGCUCGGAGUUUGCACGUUAAAACAGUGCCAAAAGUCGUCGACCAAUCAGAAUGUGUUUUCGGCUUCGACCAAUGAGCUCCAACUUCCCCUGCAUUUUCAUUGGUCGGAGAGAGUGAACCGUUGUGAAGACAAAUGGACAAUCAACGACCUCAGUGUUCAAGAAAAAGCCACAUACAAUGACAGCGUUCCCCUCCCCCCACCAGAAUCCAGCAAGGAAGCAAGUAGUGUUAGAACACCAAGCAGUAAGGCUAAUGCAGACUUUACCACCUAUGGUUAAGACAGCUGGUUCGCCCUCUCUUUGUCCAAGAACAUUCUUUCAAUGGCUCACAGGACAGGAACACAUCAGACCAGUUCGUCUGUGGAUAUUUGUGCCCAUUCAAUAAAUAAGUAAAACAAA